rnacentral:rRNA from 1 species
UACGUAGGGGGCUAGCGUUGUCCGGAAUCAUUGGGCGUAAAGAGCGUGUAGGCGGUCCGGUAAGUCCGCUGUGAAAGUCGGGGGCUCAACCCUCGAAUGCCGGUGGAUACUGUCGGGCUAGAGUGCGGAAGAGGCGAGUGGAAUUCCACGUGUAGCGGUGAAAUGCGUAGAGAUGUGGAGGAACACCAGUGGCGAAGGCGACUCUCUGGUCUGUAACUGACGCUGAGGAGCGAAAGCGUGGGGAGCAAACAGG